rnacentral:rRNA from 1 species
UACACUCCUACGGGAGGCAGCAGUGGGGAAUAUUGCACAAUGGGCGCAAGCCUGAUGCAGCCAUGCCGCGUGUAUGAAGAAGGCCUUCGGGUUGUAAAGUACUUUCAGCGGGGAGGAAGGCGAUAAGGUUAAUAACCUUGUUGAUUGACGUUACCCGCAGAAGAAGCACCGGCUAACUCCGUGCCAGCAGCCGCGGUAAUACGGAGGGUGCAAGCGUUAAUCGGAAUUACUGGGCGUAAAGCGCACGCAGGCGGUCUGUCAAGUCGGAUGUGAAAUCCCCGGGCUCAACCUGGGAACUGCAUUCGAAACUGGCAGGCUAGAGUCUUGUAGAGGGGGGUAGAAUUCCAGGUGUAGCGGUGAAAUGCGUAGAGAUCUGGAGGAAUACCGGUGGCGAAGGCGGCCCCCUGGACAAAGACUGACGCUCAGGUGCGAAAGCGUGGGGAGCAAACAGGAUUAGAAACCCCUGUAGUCCCAUGA